UGCGUAGGCGGCGCUGCAAGUCAGAUGUGAAAUCCCCGGGCUUAACUCGGGGGGUGCAUUUGAAACUACAGUGCUUGAGUGCAGGAGAGGAAAGCGGAAUUCCUAGUGUAGCGGUGAAAUGCGUAGAUAUUAGGAAGAACACCAGUGGCGAAGGCGGCUUUCUGGACUGUUACUGACGCUGAGGCACGAAAGCGUGGGGAGCAAACAGGAUUAGAUACCCUGGUAGUCCACGCUGUAAACGAUGGAUACUAGGUGUGGGGGAGAUACUACCUCUGUGCCGCAGCAAACGCAAUAAGUAUCCCGCCUGGGGAGUACGGUCGCAAGGCUGAA
rnacentral:rRNA from 1 species